UGGGGAAUAUUGCACAAUGGGCGCAAGCCUGAUGCAGCGACGCCGCGUGAGGGAUGACGGCCUUCGGGUUGUAAACCUCUUUCAGCUCCGACGAAGCGCAAGUGACGGUAGGAGCAGAAGAAGCACCGGCCAACUACGUGCCAGCAGCCGCGGUAAUACGUAGGGUGCAAGCGUUGUCCGGAAUUACUGGGCGUAAAGAGCUCGUAGGCGGUUUGUCGCGUCGUCUGUGAAAUUCUGCAGCUUAACUGCAGGCGUGCUGGCGAUACGGGCAGACUUGAGUACUACAGGGGAGACUGGAAUUCCUGGUGUAGCGGUGAAAUGCGCAGAUAUCAGGAGGAACACCGGUGGCGAAGGCGGGUCUCUGAGUAGUAACUGACGCUGAGGAGCGAAAGCGUGGGUAGCGAACAGG
rnacentral:rRNA from 1 species